GCUGGACACCUUAGCUGGGCAGGGGUACAGGAAGGUCCUGUGUGUGGGCACACCCAGACUCCAGGAGCUGAUCAAGCUGCGAAACCUGGAGCAGAAACAUGAGCCAAUGAAGACUCUGCUGCUGGACAUUGACUUCAGAUAUGCCCAGUUCUACAGCCAGGAUGAGUUCUGUCACUACAACAUGUUCAACC